rnacentral:lncRNA from 1 species
UAUAUUUGAUAUGUGAAGAAAAAUAUUAACCCUACCCAUGGCAUGGAAAAAAAAAACACUCAAUAAAAUAAAAGGCCUACAAAAUUUAAAAUAAAAAAUAAUAACUUUUUACUGCAAAUAACUAACAUGUUAUGUGAAAUAAAAUUUGCAAACUAAAUUUACGUCUCGGUAUCUAACACCCUAAAAUAAAAAUAAAAACCCAAUGAUAACUUGCCUGAGGGAGUUGUUAAGCAGACAACGUAGUCGGCGAAUUGCAAGAGAUCAUCUAAACCAUCUUUUUUCUUCUCUGCAUCAAUUAGAAUAGGUAUCUUCUUGCGACUUGCCUGCUCUGGAUAAACGCACAAGCGCAAGAGGAAAUGAACAUGUAGGUUGUGUGGCAUUUUAUGUUUAAGACACACAAGAAAAAAACGAAUCUUGUGAAAUCUUCAAACAUCAUAAAACCCUAGAAUUUCGAAUUGGUAAAGUGAAGUCUCUCUCUCUGUUAGAGACUUUCUCUUCGUUAUUUUUUUUCCAACGUGAAAUGCUACGUUUCACGUAAAACAAAUAGUAAAUUUGAGAUCGCUUCUUUGAAGCCUUGGGUUUGGUUUCUCGCAUGGCUUGUCUUCUUUGGCGUCAUUCUUCUCAUAUUCACCACGCUUGCAAUCUUGGUGAUCAGACCAAGGAUCCCUGAGUUCAGCAUACAGAAUGCAAAGCUCAACCUCGACCUCAACCAAAGCCGUGCCGACAUGUAUGGAGAUCAGAGGCGAAUAUUAACAAAAAAAAAACCAAAAGUUAAAAAAUAUCAUCUUUUUGUGACAAAAGAACUACACCAAUAAACAAAAUAUUUU